CACGUAGGGUGCGAGCGUUGUCCGGAAUCAUUGGGCGUAAAGCGCGCGUAGGCGGUUACUUAAGUCGAAUGUGAAAGCCCUCGGCUUAACCGAGGAAGUGCAUCCGAAACUGAGUAGCUAGAGUACGAAAGAGGGUCGCGGAAUUCCCGGUGUAGAGGUGAAAUUCGUAGAUAUCGGGAGGAACACCGGUGGCGAAGGCGGCGACCUGGGUCGAGACUGACGCUGAGGCGCGAAAGCGUGGGGAGCAAACAGG
rnacentral:rRNA from 1 species